CCUGUCUCGGCACCCUAUCAUCUGCCUUCUCUAGAUCCACAAAGACACAAUGUAGCUCCUUCUGACCUUCUCUGUACUUCUCUACCAACACUCUCAACACAAAAAUUGCAUCUGUGGUACUCUUUCUGGGCAUGAAACCAAACUGCUGCUCACUGAUCUGAACCUCUCGCCUUAGCCUUGCUUCAACAACUCUUUCCCAUACCUUCAUGGUGUGGCUCAUCAACUUUAUACCUCUGUAGUUACUGCAGCUCUGCACAUCAUCCUUGUUCUUAAAAAUGGGGACCAGUACACUGCUUCUCCACUCAUCAGGCAUCCUCUCACUCUCCAGGAUUUUGUUAAACAACCUGGUUAAAAAGUCCACUGCCUUCUCUCCUGAACAUCUCCAUACCUCCACAGAGCCGCAUCUUUAUCAAAACGUCGGUGUGUAAAUAACCGCACCCGCAGUUUGGAGCAGAACCGCCGAUACGCGCUGAAAAAACUCCCGGACCCUCGGCUGGCGCACGUGACGUCACCGGACCCGGACACCGGACUGCGUGUGUGUUUUGGAGUUCAAGGAAGUGAAUCAGUGGCCGCCGCCGAUUUGUUUAGCACCGAUAAUCCAAAUAUUUAUCGUAGUGAUGUUGCUUUUAUUAACUCACCAUAUAAAACACAUUCACAAAAGCAGGUGGUCGCGAGCCCGGGUGUGCAAAAACGGUCAUUGGUAAACUGGGACUUUUAUUUUGAAGUAAACAAUAAUCACCGUUAGCGAUAUUUUCCCUUUCAUGUUUUAACUUUCUUUUUUAAUCAAAACGAGCUAACGAAAGAGAAAUCUAUAUAUUUUUCAGUGACUGUUAAACAGGGAAUCACAAAGCGACUCUAAACCAAUAAAGGACAGUUUUAAAUAACACCGCCGAUAUUUUGAAGCGCUGAAAAAUCCUCCCGGGCGCUGGCGGAGGUGACGUCCCUGCGCGGAGUGUUUCGGAGCUCCAUGGAGGAAAAUCCUUCCCUUCCUUCAUGAUAAACUUCGUCACCGCUCCACCUGCAGCGCGCCUUCAGCUCCA
ensembl:lncRNA